UACGUAGGGUGCAAGCGUUGUCCGGAAUUAUUGGGCGUAAAGAGCUCGUAGGCGGUCUGUUGCGUCGGCUGUGAAAACCCGGGGCUCAACUCCGGGCCUGCAGCCGAUACGGGCAGACUAGAGUUCGGCAGGGGAGACUGGAAUUCCUGGUGUAGCGGUGAAAUGCGCAGAUAUCAGGAGGAACACCGAUGGCGAAGGCAGCUCGCUGGGACGGUACUGACGCUGAGACGCGAAAGCGUGGGGAGCAAACAGG
rnacentral:rRNA from 1 species